rnacentral:lncRNA from 1 species
CCAUGAGAAAUAACUUUCUCUACAUCCUCUGUUAAGCAUACUCGAGUAUCUUUCAAGAGGAUUGAAGAUCCUACUAUGUAUAUGAGAUGGAGGAGGAAUAUACAUCUAUUGGCUUAUGAUAAAUAUGUUCUUAAGAUCCUAAGGCUCGCUGCUCUUCAGAAAUACUCUCUUUGAGCUUAACUUUCCUCCCGCUACAUCAUCUUGGUUAAGUAAU